rnacentral:rRNA from 1 species
CAAAGGCUUCGGCCGGUAAAGGAUGGGGAUGCGUCUGAUUAGCUUGCCGGCGGGGUAACGGCCCACCGGGGCGACGAUCAGUAGGGGUUCUGAGAGGAAGGUCCCCCACAUUGGAACUGAGACACGGUCCAAACUCCUACGGGAGGCAGCAGUGAGGAAUAUUGGUCAAUGGGCGCGAGCCUGAACCAGCCAAGUAGCGUGCAGGACGACGGCCCUAUGGGUUGUAAACUGCUUUUAUACGGGGAUAAAGUAUGCCACGUGUGGUUUAUUGCAGGUACCGUAUGAAUAAGGACCGGCUAAUUCCGUGCCAGCAGCCGCGGUAAUACGGAAGGUCCGGGCGUUAUCCGGAUUUAUUGGGUUUAAAGGGAGCGUAGGCCGGGUUUUAAGCGUGCCGUGAAAUGUCGGGGCUCAACCUUGACACUGCGGCGCGAACUGGAGUCCUUGAGUGCGCGGAACGUAUGCGGAAUUCGUGGUGUAGCGGUGAAAUGCUUAGAUAUCACGAAGAACCCCGAUUGCGAAGGCAGCAUACGGCACCGCUACUGACGCUGAAGCUCGAAGGCGCGGGUAUCGAACAGGAUUAGAUACCCUGGUAGUCCGCGCGGUAAACGAUGGAUGCCCGCUGUUGGCGAUAUAUUGUCA